AUUGAACGCUGGCGGCAGGCCUAACACAUGCAAGUCGAACGAGUGGCGGACGGGUGAGUAAUGUCUGGGAAACUGCCCGAUGGAGGGGGAUAACUACUGGAAACGGUAGCUAAUACCGCAUACCAUCGGAUGUGCCCAGAUGGGAUUAGCUUGUAGGUGAGGUAACGGCUCACCUAGGCGACGAUCCCUAGCUGGUCUGAGAGGAUGACCAGCAACACGGGAACUGAGACACGGUGCCGAAGCCGAAGGGAGGCAGCAGUGGGGAAGAUUGCACAAUGGGCGCAAGCCUGAUGCAGCAAUGCCGCGUGUAUGAAGAAGGCCUUUGGGUUGUAAAGUACUUUCAGCGGGGAGGCGUUACCCGCAGAAGAAGCACCGGCUAACUCCGUGCCAGCAGCCGCGGUAAUAC
rnacentral:rRNA from 1 species